UAGGGAAUCUUCGGCAAUGGACGGAAGUCUUACCGAGCAACGCCGCGUGAGUGAAGAAGGUUUUCGGAUCGUAAAGCUCUGUUGUUAGAGAAGAACGUUGGUAGGAGUGGAAAAUCUACCAAGUGACGGUAACUAACCAGAAAGGGACGGCUAACUACGUGCCAGCAGCCGCGGUAAUACGUAGGUCCCGAGCGUUGUCCGGAUUUAUUGGGCGUAAAGCGAGCGCAGGCGGUUCUUUAAGUCUGAAGUUAAAGGCAGUGGCUUAACCAUUGUACGCUUUGGAAACUGGAGGACUUGAGGGCAGAAGGGGAGAGUGGAAUUCCAUGUGUAACGGGGAAAUGCGUAGAGAUAUGGAGGAAAACCGGUGGCGAAAGCGGCUCUCUGGUCUGUAACUGACGCUGAGGCUCGAAAGCGUGGGGAGCAAACAGG
rnacentral:rRNA from 1 species